GAGAUUCCUACUGUACGGCACCAUGCCAAACGAUUGAUCAAGACAUCUAAGCCUAGCUAGUCUCCUCAUUGGCAACGCUCGUACGUAUGGGCCAAAGCAAUCUGAUGUCGACUCGAAAGGUGUUAAUGGCAUCCAAUCAGAAAACUGUGUGCAGUAAUCGCCAACCCAAGAUGUGAAAGCAUGGCACAAUGAGACAUGCCGUCCGGUAUCCAUUCUAUGCCAUAAGCUUCAUCAUGCCAUCACAAUGGCUAUCUACCAAUCGACAACACAACACCCCUAUGGAGUUUUCUCAUCCAAGCCACCACGGAAUGCCUUGACCUCAAAAUGCUCUGCAAUUCAAUGCUUUACAGCUUCGGACUUCCGCGAUUUCCCAUCAAUGCCCAGGAGAUGAUGAGAACUCAUUAUUCACGGCUGGAUAAUCAAUAUUGCCAAACGGCACCCUGCAGCCCUUGUGUGACCUCUUCUCCAUCUCUCCCUUACUGUUCGGCAGGUCCAGACAAUUGGGCCAAGAGGCACGGACAGACCACUACCAAACAAUAACCCUUUUUACAGAAGUAUCACCCUGGUGGAAUUAUAAGAAGAGCCUAUUUACAUGGAUGGCUCUAUAAAAAUC
rnacentral:lncRNA from 1 species